rnacentral:rRNA from 1 species
AGUGAACGCUGGCGGUAGGCCUAACACAUGCAAGUCGAACGGCAGCACAGUAAGAUCUUGCUCUUACGGGUGGCGAGUGGCGGACGGGUGAGGAAUACAUCGGAAUCUACUUUUUCGUGGGUGAUAACGUAGGGAAACUUACGCUAAUACCGCAUACUACCUACGGGUGAAAGCAGGGGAUCUUCGGACCUUUCGCGAUUGAAUGAGCCGAUGUCGGAUUAGCUAGUUGGCGGGGUAAAGGCCCACCAAGGCGACGAUCCGUAGCUGGUCUGAGAGGAUGAUCAGCCACACUGGAACUGAGACACGGUCCAGACUCCUACGGGAGGCAGCAGUGGGGAAUAUUGGACAAAGGGCGCAAGCCUGAUCCAGCCAUACCGCGUGGGUGAAGAAGGCCUUCGGGUUGUAAAGCCCUUUUGUUGGGAAAGAAAAGCAGCAGGUUAAUACCCCGCUGUUCUGACGGUACCCAAAGAAUAAGCACCGGCUAACUUCGUG